rnacentral:rRNA from 1 species
CAAUACAUGCUGACGAGCGGCAGACGGGUGAGGAACACGUACGCAACUUUCCUCAAACCGGGGCACAACCUUGAGAAAUCAGGGCUAAUUCCCCACAACAUUGCGAAAGGGCAUCUGAUUGCAAUUAAAGAUUCGUCGGUUUGAGAUGGGCGUGCGUUCGAUUAGCUAGUUGGUAGGGUAACGGCUUACCAAGGCAACGAUCGAUAGCUGGUGUGAGAGCACGACCAGCCACACGGGCACUGAGAUACGGGCCCGACUCCUACGGGAGGCAGCAGUAAGGAAUAUUGGUCAAUGGACGAAAGUCUGAACCAGCCAUGCCGCGUGAGGGAUGAAGGUCCUCUGGAUUGUAAACCUCUUUUAUCUAUGAAGAAAUGUCCUGUUUCUACGGGAUUUGACGGUAAUAGAUGAAUAAGCACCGGCUAACUCCGUGCCAGCAGCCGCGGUAAUACGGAGGGUGCAAGCGUUAUCCGGAUUUACUGGGUUUAAAGGGUGCGUAGGGUGGGGUUGGUAAGUCAGUGGUGAAAUACUUUCGCUUAACGAAGGAACUGCCAUUGAUACUAUCAAUCUUGAAUGUAGUGGAGGUGGGCGGAAUGCGUCAUGUAGCGGUGAAAUGCUUAGAUAUGACGCAGAACACCAAUUGCGAAGGCAGCUUGCUACACUACUAUUGACACUGAGGCACGAAAGCGUGGGGAUCAAACAGGAUUAGAUACCCUGGUAGUCCACGCCCUAAACGAUGAUUACUCGAUCUCAGCGAUACACUGUUGGGGUCUAUGUGAAAGCAUUAAGUAAUCCACCUGGGGA